rnacentral:lncRNA from 1 species
UACCCCAUCCGGUAUGAGACAACGUUCACGAUAAGGCUCCCUAUUGUACUCGGUCCAUCCACCAUUUUCUAGGAUAUCCAGUAAGGCUGUCGUUUCAUCCAUUCACUUAAUCACACAGUUCCCAUUUACCUUUAAUCUCGAAUUUCCUAAUUCAACCGUAAUCACAUAAACAAACAAACAUGCAUCAGGGAAUGCAAUCAUAUCUCAGUUUCCUAAUUUAAUAGUAGUCACAU